AUUGAACGCUGGCGGCAUGCUUUACACAUGCAAGUCGAACGGCAGCGCGGGCUUCGGCCUGGCGGCGAGUGGCGAAUGGGUGAGUAAUGCAUCGGAACGUGCCCAGUAGUGGGGGAUAGCCCGGCAAAAGCCGGAUUAAUACCGCAUACGACCUGAGGGUGAAAGCGGGGGACCGAAAGGCCUCGCGCUAUUGGAGCGGCCGAUGUCGGAUUAGCUAGUUGGUGGGGUAAAGGCUUACCAAGGCGACGAUCCGUAGCUGGUCUGAGAGGACGACCAGCCACACUGGGACUGAGACACGGCCCAGACUCCUACGGGAGGCAGCAGUGGGGAAUUUUGGACAAUGGGGGCAACCCUGAUCCAGCCAUGCCGCGUGCGGGAAGAAGGCCUUCGGGUUGUAAACCGCUUUUGUUCGGGAAGAAAUCCUCUGGGCUAAUACCCCGGGGGGAUGACGGUACCGGAAGAAUAAGCACCGGCUAACUACGU
rnacentral:rRNA from 1 species